rnacentral:rRNA from 1 species
UAGGGAAUCUUCCGCAAUGGGCGAAAGCCUGACGGAGCAACGCCGCGUGAGUGAUGAAGGUCUUCGGAUCGUAAAACUCUGUUAUUAGGGAAGAACAAAUGUGUAAGUAACUAUGCACGUCUUGACGGUACCUAAUCAGAAAGCCACGGCUAACUACGUGCCAGCAGCCGCGGUAAUACGUAGGUGGCAAGCGUUAUCCGGAAUUAUUGGGCGUAAAGCGCGCGUAGGCGGUUUUUUAAGUCUGAUGUGAAAGCCCACGGCUCAAACGUGGAGGGUCAUUGGAAACUGGAAAACUUGAGUGCAGAAGAAGAAAGUGGAAAUCCAUGGGUAGCCGUGAAAUGCGCAGAGAUAUGGAGGAACACCAGGGGCGAAGGCGACUUUCCGGUCUGUAACUGACCCUGAUGUGCGAAAGCGGGGGGAUCAAACAGG